CUGCUAUCAUUUAGUUUAAAAUUUCCAAAAACUCGGAGAAAAAGAAUUAUAUGGCUAUAGAUUUAUUUGUUAUCGAUCCGUCAUACUCCAUGCUUUUUAGCGGAUUUGAGGCCAGAGCCAUCCAUCAUACCCACACAAUGUGCAAGUUUUUCUUGUGCAGGUGUUAACCUGUCACCAGCAACAAUCUCAGGAUCAUCGUCUGGGAUAAUAAGCAUCCCAUUGGUUUGGAAUACAAUGUCAAUCGAGUUAUGGAUCUCUCUUCUUCCCCUUUUCUUUAAAUGUCCUCGUGUACGCCCAUGUGAAUGUGGGUGUAUUCACGAGGACAACCUUUGUCCCUAUCCCGUCUGGUGUCAUUUAACUCGUCAGCGGAUGGAUGGAUCAACUGCGGAUGCCUGGCUGUAUUUCCCAUGCAUAAUGGUAGGAGAAAAUUGAUCUC